GAUGAAGAACGCAGCGAAAUGCGAUAAGUAAUGUGAAUUGCAGAAUUCAGUGAAUCAUCGAAUCUUUGAACGCACAUUGCGCCCCCCAGUAUUCUGGCGGGCACGCCUGUUCGAGCGUCAUUUCAACCAUCAAGCCCUGCUUGUGUUGGGGUCCUGCGGCUGCCCGCAGGCCCUGAAAACCAGUGGCGGGCUCGCUAGUCACACCGAGCGCAGUAGCACAUCUCGCUCAGGGCGUGCGGCGGGCUCCAGCCGUUAAAGCACCCACCUUUCGCAAGGUUGACCUCGGAUCAGGUAGGAAUACCCGCUGAACUUAAGCAUAUCAAUAAGCGGAGGA
rnacentral:misc_RNA from 1 species